rnacentral:rRNA from 1 species
AUUGAACGCUGGCGGCAUGCCUUACACAUGCAAGUCGAACGGUAACAGGUCUUCGGUUGCUGACGAGUGGCGAACGGGCGGGUAAUACAUCGGAACGUACCCGAUCGUGGGGGAUAACGAGGCGAAAGCUAUGCUAAUACCGCAUACGAUCGACGGAUGAACGCGGGGGAGGUUCGUACCUCGCGCGGGCGGUUCGGCCGAGGGCCGAGUCGGUAGUGGGUGGGAUAAAAGCUUACCAAGCCGACGAUCUGUAGCUGUUCUGAGAGGAUGAUCGGCCACCUUGGGAGUGAGCCACGGCCAAGGCUCCUACGGGAGGGCGCAGUGGGGAAUGUUAGGCAAUGGGGGAAAGCAUGAUCCAGCCAUGCCGCGUGCAGGAUGAAGGCCUUCGGGUUGUAAACUGCUUUUGUACGGAACGAAAAGCCUCUUUCUAAUAAAGAGCGGUCAUGACGGUACCGUAAGAAUAAGCACCGGCUAACUACGUG